rnacentral:rRNA from 1 species
GAUGAACGCUAGCGGCAGGCCUAACACAUGCAAGUCGAGGGGCAGCACGGGUAGCAAUACUUGGUGGCGACCGGCGCACGGGUGAGUAACGCGUAUGCAACCUACCCUUAACUGGGGAAUAGCCCGAAGAAAUUCGGAUUAAUGUCCCAUAAUAUAAUUUUGUCGCAUGAUAGAAUUAUAAAAGCUCCGGCGGUUAAGGAUGGGCAUGCGUGACAUUAGCUAGUUGGUGAGGUAACGGCUCACCAAGGCUACGAUGUCUAGGGGGGCCUGAGAGGGUAGUCCCCCACACUGGUACGUGAGACACGGACCGAGACUCCUACGGGAGGGCUG